UGCCCGGCCUGGAGCUGCAGGGCCUGGGGUGACCCCAGGGCAGGACCUGGCACUUGCUGAACCUCAGCCCAUGGAUCCAGCCUGUCCUGAUCCCUCUGCAGAGCUUCCUGCCCUCCAGCCAGCCUGGUGCUGUAUGUGAAGUUACUGAGGGCACCCUUGGUAACUCUCACACUGAAGUCUGUUCCCUGCACUCACUCUGGUUUUGGCUCUUAUAUAUUGCGCAGUUUUUAUGCUGCCCAGGCAGUGUGGCUUGCAAACAAAACAUAUCAUCCAUUUGUACUUUUGGAAAGGUUUUGUCCCACCCAAAGCCAGGCUGAGGCUGGUAGCAAACACAGCUUUGCAGAGGAAAUAUGUUGUUGUGCUUCCAGCUCUGCCAAGGGCUCAGCUGAUCCUGUGUUUCAGAGCACAGAUUCCAGUAAUGGGAAUGAAGCAGCAGUCAGUCAUCGGGCUCUCUCUUUUAGCAGUGUUAGCAGUUACACCACAAAAAGAAGUUGAACAGAAAGAGGCAUUCAGCUGGGGCUAGCUGAGUCUCAAUCUUUUGUCUGGAAAAUCCUUAACAUCCCCAUUGAGGACUGGAGUAACAAAUUAAAAACUUUUGUCUGCUUGCCCCUCCAAAUCAGCGCAUGGUUGGAAUGUACUGUGCAGCAGUGCUUGGGGCAUGGAUCUGGACACAGCAGGGGUGGAGAAAGGGUGCUGCCAUGUCCUGCUUUGGGAAUGACUUUGAGUCCUGUGCUGAAUGCAGAAAGCUAUGAAAAACAUCUUAUUUUCUUUAUGUGUGCAUGGAGAAUCCACUCAAACUCAAAAUUAAACAAUAAAUGGGAUGUUUUACCCCUCUUCAGGA